CUAAAAUUACAGUAGGAUCACUAGAACUUUUCGAAGUCCAAAUCAUCAUCUGUCAUCAAUUUCAUAUUUUUCAUUCCCUCACAUCAAGUGUCU
ensembl:snoRNA Y73B6A.15 ncRNA